GAUGAGCCAAGUUUAGAAGCUUCUUUAAAGAGCUUCAUAGCAAGAUUAAACUGAAGAGUUUGAUCAUGGCUCAGAUUGAACGCUGGCGGCAGGCUUAACACAUGCAAGUCGAGCGGAAACGAUGAUAGCUUGCUAUCAGGCGUCGAGCGGCGGACGGGUGAGUAAUACUUAGGAAUCUACCUAGUAGUGGGGGAUAGCUCGGGGAAACUCGAAUUAAUACCGCAUACGUCCUACGGGAGAAAGGGGGCAACUUGUUGCUCUCGCUAUUAGAUGAGCCUAAGUCGGAUUAGCUAGAUGGUGGGGUAAAGGCCUACCAUGGCGACGAUCUGUAGCUGGUCUGAGAGGAUGAUCAGCCACACCGGGACUGAGACACGGCCCGGACUCCUACGGGAGGCAGCAGUGGGGAAU
rnacentral:rRNA from 1 species